CGUAAAAUUCACCGAAAAAUUUCAAUUCCCUGCUAAUCUCUCCAUCUUUCACUCAGCCUACUCAUACCCAUUACUCACUGAGACACGCGUCACAAAUCCUCCCUCAUAUGAAAACCCUAACCCAUCUUCCUCACACAAGCCUGGAUAGGGAGAUACAGUUCUGGAGAAAGAGAAUCAGGAGAGAGAGUGAUCCGCCCACACUCCGGCCGCCGGUAUCGAUGACGACUGUGAUGAUAGGGGUAAAAAGCAAUGAAGACCAUCGUCCAUUAAGACGACAGUAGUUCCGGUGAAUGGUACGGUGGUUGUUGGUGGCGCAUCGGACCCGAUCUCCGGCGACAUUAGAUAAUUUCUAACGGAAGUACUUGGAAAUGAGACUUGUAUUCUUAGAGUUAAUCUACACUAUGAUGGUUGCAAACACAAAGUGAAGAAAUUUCUUCAAAGAAUUGAUGGUAUUCUCUUUUUUGUCAUUUGUUUACCAUACAUGAACAAACCCUCUUGCAAUUUCAGCUAUAUAGCUCAUUGUUCUUUCUUUGGGCAACAGCUAAUUAGUCUGAUCUUUUCUGUAAUCUCUCUCUUUCUCUGUUUUUUAUAUAUGCACACAUAUACAUGUAUGUACAAUAGAAAUAUAGGAUAAAGGUGUCAUCUUUUUCUCAUUUGUGGGGACUUUGUUGAUGUUUUUUUUGUGGAAUGAGGGUUAUUUUCAGAUGUGGGUAUAGUAUACGUUACUUUGAUGGGUUGUUUUUUAUUAGGACUGUUUUGAUGUUGCUCACAAGAUGUUUGAUGUUUUGCUUGAAUGAGUUUUGAGAAUUGUCUUUUUUAUUUGUUCACUUUAACUUUCAUGGUAGUUGGUCAAGAUUUAAGUCUCUGAAUAUCAACUUGUGAUUUUGUGACCAUUGCUCAAACUUAGCUGCUAGCAUCUAUCUUGCUCAAAGUUUUACUUCAUUGUUGUUACUCCUUGCUAAUAUUAUUUAUGGGAUCUUUGGUAUUUUAUUAACUGGCAACACAAAAACUAAGAUUCUUUUGUGUCUUUUUGGCAUAUCAGUAGCGAUGUUCAUCGGGUUUUUUCUUCGGGUUUCGGGUUUUUCUCUAGGAAAAAUUGACCCGAUAACCAACCCAUUUUAAAGUUCGGGUUAGUCGGGUUUAGGUUAUUCGGGUUUGGGUUAGUUCGGGUCAGGUUAUUCAGUUUUCGGGUUUAGAUGUAAAAUGAAAAUAAAUGUUUUUUUUUAUAGAAAUAUCAUCAAAAUUCCUAUUGUUACAUUAAAAAUAUAAUCAAAGUAUUUAAAAGUCCCAAAACUUAGUGUUCCAUCCAUUAAAGACUUCAAAUCUAAACAGUUUUAUAUGAAAAAAAACAAUAAAUGUUUGGGUUUUUUUCGGGUUUUGUGUUUCGGGUUUUUCGGGUCCGGUUAUUCGGGUUUUUGGCCUGGAAAAAGUGACCCGAUAACCGAACCAUUUAAAUCCAAUCCCGAACUGGUUUGGACAAAAACCUGAUUUGAACACCAACCGGUUUGGGCUCAGAACUCGAUUUCUGCAUGACUACACCUGUAGUCAGAGUGCUCUGUUAACUAUGGGGCCACAUUCAUUCACUUAUUGGCUGUUGUAACCGGACAGUAUAAACUAAAAACAGUUGCUAUUAUUAUAGUUUUUGAACAAAUGCUCUUCCUUGCGAGUUAAAUCUUGAUUAGUUAUUAAGUUAUUCCAGCUGAAGUUAUGAAGUCCUUGAACAUUCCCAACGGAGUAAGACGUAAGAGCAUUAAACACUCAUAGGCAUGUCCGCAGCCGAUCAUCGGGCCUCCUCGCGGCCGGUCUGAGUUGUCAAACAUGCGAUGUUUAUACUUGGACAUGGAGCUCGCGACAACAAUAAGGGUUUAAAGGUUGAUAAACGGGCGGCGACACUUCUACCAACUCCGAACUGAAGCUCGCGACAACAAUAAGGGCGUCGAACCCACAACGGUCUGAUGACGGAAGCUCCGACGGCUACGGUUCAGAACUAAACACAACUUGUUUUGGCAUUACGAUAAAGAGAGAAACAAACCGGACACGCAACAUCUCCAUUGAAUCCAUCUAAUCUCUCCUUUGAUUGAACGCGAACCGAAGGAAGAGGAACAUAAAUCGGAAGCCAUCCGAUUCUAGACCUUAAUCGGAGAUCUGAAAACCAAUUAAGGACUGACGUGAUUAAGGUUGAUGUUACUCUUUCCGAUGGAACUUUGGCCAGAGUUGCCGUACCUAGCGGCGCUUCUACAGGUAUAUAUGAAGCUUUGGAUUUAAGAGAUGGAGGUUCAGAUAUCUUGGUAAAGGUUUCUUGAAGGGGUGCAAACGAGCCGGGCCAAGCCGAGCUCGAUUAACUUAUGAGAGCUCGAGCUCUACUUGGUUCGAGCUUCGUCUUCAAAGCCCGAGGUUCGGACUUGGCUCGUAAACAAGUUUAAAACCGGAAGAUUUUACAUGGAGAUUAGUGAAAUGGUCUAAAAAUCAUGAAGGUGCAUUUUAUGAUGCUUUGUUUGUUUGUUUGAUGAGGAAGCUCUCUAAUUUGCAGUGGAUGGCAAUCGAAUUAUUGGCUAUUGGAAGUUUGGAACAACCACAAGUCAGGUUAAAGGAUGCGGAGAAGGAUCUUGUGACUAUCUCAUCAUUAAUCCCAGGGAGCCAGCUCAAAAGCACACUAGGAGUCUCUUCAGCUCUACAUGCCGGUUCUUUGACAACAUUCCUAUCCCCUCCAUCUUCUCCGAGAGCAGGCGAGCGAUCACCAUUUCUAGAAUCGGAGGAACUGGAAUCAGGCAAAGGCAAGAAAGAAGUGGAAGCAAAACUUGUGAGUUAUUCGUACACGUUUUUCCAUCUGAUUUUGCAUUUGCGAGCAUGUAUCAGGCACGCUUUUAUUGGGAUGGAGCAGUUCAGAAGCUCGGAUCUCAUUGAUGUCGGGUGAUUGGUCAUUGAUUGAAUUGUUCGCUGGUCAAUAAUUUUGCAAUAAAAUCUUGGAGCAUUCCACAAAGGCAAAACAAGUGGAAAUAGAAUUAGUUCUUAGUUUAUGUGUAGAGGCAUUUCCUUUGCAACUUUUGUAGAUAGGUUUUGAUUAGAAUUUUAUGUUUUGAAUUAGUAUUUAAAUUAAAAACUUAUGUAUGGAUUUUGGUU